UGAUGACGAGACGCUAAGGCGUUGAAGCAGUGUAUGUCAGACUUCCAAGAAAAGCUCGCAAUGUCACAAAUGAAAAAUGCCUGUACCAUAACCGACACAGGUGGGUAGGUAGAGUAUACUAAGGGGCGCGAGAUAACUCUCUCUAAGGAACUCGGCAAAAUGACUCCGUAACUUCGGGAGAAGGAGUGCCUUAUUUAUAAGGUUGCAAUAACAAGAUCCAAGCAACUGUUUAUCAAAAACACAGGUCUCCGCUAAGUCGUAAGACGAUGUAUGGGGGCUGACGCCUGCCCAGUGCCAGAAGGUUAAAGAAGUUGGUUAGUGUAUGCGAAGCUGAUGACUGAAGCCCUGGUGAACGGCGGCCGUAACUAUAACGGUCCUAAGGUAGCGAAAUUCCUUGUCGGGUAAGUUCCGACCCGCACGAAAGGCGUAAUGAUUUGGAUACUGUCUCGGAGAGAGGCUCGGUGAAAUAGACUUGUCUGUGAAGAUGCGGACUACCUGCACCAGGACAGAAAGACCCUAUGAAGCUUUACUGUAACUUGAAAUUGGAAUUGGACUUUGCUUGCGCAGUAUAGGUGGGAAGCGUUGAAAAUAUUCUUGCGGGAGUAUUGGAGCUAUCAGUGAGAUACCACUCUUGUAAUGUUAGAUUUCUAACUUUGAACCAUAAUCUGGUCAAAGAACAGUUUCAGGUGGGCAGUUUGACUGGGGCGGUCGCCUCCCAAAUGGUAACGGAGGCGUACAAAGGUUUCCUCUGAACGGAUAGAAAUCGUAUCUAGAGUGUAAAGGCAUAAGGAAGCUUGACUGUGAGACCUACAAGUCGAGCAGGGACGAAAGUCGGUCUUAGUGAUCUGACGGUACUGAGUGGAAAGGCCGUCACUCAACGGAUAAAAGUUACUCUAAGGAUAACAGGCUGAUCUCCCCCAAGAGUUCACAUCGACGGGGAGGUUUGGCACCUCGAUGUCGGCUCAUCGCAUCCUGGGGCGGUAGUACGUCCCAAGGGUUGGGCUGUUCGCCCAUGAAAGCGGUACGCGAGCUGGGUUCAGAACGUCGUGAGACAGUUCGGUCCAUAUCCGGUGUAGGCGCUAGAAUAUUGAGAGGAGCCUUCUUUAGUACGAGAGGACCGAGAAGGACACACCGCUGGUGUACCAGUUAUCGUGCCAACGGUAAACGCUGGGUAGCUAUGUGUGGAGUGGAUAACCGCUGAAAGCAUCUAAGUGGGAAGCCCACCUCGAGAUGAGUAUUCGC
rnacentral:rRNA from 1 species